rnacentral:rRNA from 1 species
CCUACGGGGGGCAGCAGUGGGGAAUAUUGGACAAUGGGGGGAACCCUGAUCCAGCCAUGCCGCGUGUGUGAAGAAGGCCCUCGGGUUGUAAAGCACUUUCUGUGAGGAAGAACGCCUGGUGGUUAAUACCCAUCAGGAAAGACAUCACUCACAGAAGAAGCACCGGCUAACUCCGUGCCAGCAGCCGCGGUAAUACGGAGGGUGCGAGCGUUAAUCGGAAUUACUGGGCGUAAAGCGCGCGUAGGUGGCUUGAUAAGCCGGUUGUGAAAGCCCCGGGCUCAACCUGGGAACGGCAUCCGGAACUGUCAAGCUAGAGUGCAGGAGAGGAAGGUAGAAUUCCCGGUGUAGCGGUGAAAUGCGUAGAGAUCGGGAGGAAUACCAGUGGCGAAGGCGGCCUUCUGGACUGACACUGACACUGAGGUGCGAAAGCGUGGGUAGCAAACAGGAUUAGAUACCCGUGUAGUC